rnacentral:rRNA from 1 species
UACGUAGGGGGCAAGCGUUGUCCGGAAUCAUUGGGCGUAAAGAGCGUGUAGGCGGCCUGGUAAGUCCGCUGUGAAAGUCCAGGGCUCAACCCUGGAAUGCCGGUGGAAACUGUCAGGCUCGAGUCCGGAAGAGGCGAGUGGAAUUCCUGGUGUAGCGGUGAAAUGCGCAGAUAUCAGGAGGAACACCAAUGGCGAAGGCAGCUCGCUGGGACGGUACUGACGCUGAGGAGCGAAAGCGUGGGGAGCGAACAGG